ensembl:lncRNA
CAAAUUUAAAGUGAAAAGAACACAAAACACUGCAAACCACAACACAAUUAAAUAUAAAUUAUAAUAUGAAAACUAAAAGAACAUGCAUAUUCUCUGUCAUAUGAACCUUCAUGAAUAAACUUUCUCAAUCCUUUAGAAAGUACAUUAUUGUACUUUAUUGAGCCCCGUGGGGAAAUUGCUCUCUGCAUUUAACCCAUUCACUGAGUGAAGCAGUGGGCAGCCAUUGGGCGCCCGGGGAGCAGUGUGUAGGGACGGUACCUUGCUCAGGGGUACCUCAGGGUAGCUGUUAAGGGGAAUCGAACCCCCGACCUUCCGAUCAUGGGGCAACCACUCUACCUACUGAGCUAUCCCUGCCUUUAUCAUCUGCAACCGAAAAUAGUUGUGGAUGAUUACUAUACCUUUCUAAUAUUGUUGUCCCUGCCUCUCUUUCUCUCUCUCUGGCUCUGUUCCUGUGCUACUGAUGUAACUACCGCCCCUCCCCCCUCUGCCCAGCGUAAAGCACAAGGCUCGCGUGCAGAGUGAAGCGGAAAAAAAGUGCGAGAGAGAGGCUGAGAGAAAGAAAAAAAAAAAAAAAAACCCAUGUGACGGCUCGCGAUAAGGAGCCGGCUCGCGUCGUUCACGUCAAAGAGCCGGCUCUAAGAGCCAUUUCGUUCGCGAACGACCCAUCACUAAUGUAAAUAUAAUAAUAACCACUUCAGCCAAGAAGAGAGCCUGACGAGCCCAGUUGUAAGUAAGCUAUUAAGACUCGACUGUACACCGUGUUCGUGUUUUCCUCCGAAAACAAUAAGUUCCAUUGGAGCAGCCUUUCAACGCCUCUCUCUGUCUCUCGCAAGAAAAGUUGACCCACACAACAAAGUAAAGCUAUUUUUCGGCUACGAGCCAACAGGGAACCCACCGUAUUAGCCAGAGGUCCCUUUACUACAGUUCGGAGUCGCGGACCUUCAGUAAUAGUAAUAAAUCACACAGCAAUAGUACAUUCACGUUGUUGUAAAAAGCAUGAUAAUAUAUUAAGUAAUCCAAAGUAUUCAGAAUAUGUUACUGUCAUUGAGUAACGUAACGGAAUACGUUACAGAAUACAUUUUGGGGCAUGUAUUCUGUAAUGGAAUACAUUUUAAAAGUAAC